rnacentral:lncRNA from 1 species
CUCCCAUUCAAAUGCAUUGAUCGUCCAAAAAAAAGGGUGGUUCCAACCCCAGGAACCUGGAUCCACCACUGCCUGUGUUGUCAGCAACACUCCAAAGAUAAUGUACAAGUAGAAUCAUAAGAUUAUCAGGGAGGGAUCAACUUAGGGCCGGAUCGACCUUAGACGGAUCGACUGGGGAUGGAGUGACUUUGGGACGAUUGCAUCGGUUUUGGGUCAGAUAGACAUGAUACCUUUUCAAACUAGGAACAAUUUAUCUUUUAAAAAGAAGCUCUAAACAAAAAAGUGCAAAAUUAUGGAGCAAAUAGAUGGCUGUAUCUUUAUCAAAACUUGACAGUAACAAAUCCAGUAAACCUUACAGAUACAUCAUCACAAUUCAUUGAUGUUAACAGGUCAAGUAGUAUGAUACAAACACUUACAUGUACUUAGUACCACUAUCAAAUAAGUAAAAAAGUAAAAAAGUGAGAAAGUUAAAAAAAUAACAACAGCUUAUAUCAUUG